rnacentral:rRNA from 1 species
GGUGCUUGCACCAAAUGAAACUAGAUACAAGCGAGCGGCGGACGGGUGAGUAACACGUGGGUAACCUGCCCAAGAGACUGGGAUAACACCUGGAAACAGAUGCUAAUACCGGAUAACAACACUAGACGCAUGUCUAGAGUUUAAAAGAUGGUUCUGCUAUCACUCUUGGAUGGACCUGCGGUGCAUUAGCUAGUUGGUAAGGUAACGGCUUACCAAGGCAAUGAUGCAUAGCCGAGUUGAGAGACUGAUCGGCCACAUUGGGACUGAGACACGGCCCAAACUCCUACGGGAGGCAGCAGUAGGGAAUCUUCCACAAUGGACGCAAGUCUGAUGGAGCAACGCCGCGUGAGUGAAGAAGGGUUUCGGCUCGUAAAGCUCUGUUGGUAGUGAAGAAAGAUAGAGGUAGUAACUGGCCUUUAUUUGACGGUAAUUACUUAGAAAGUCACGGCUAACUACGUGCCAGCAGCCGCGGUAAUACGUAGGUGGCAAGCGUUGUCCGGAUUUAUUGGGCGUAAAGCGAGUGCAGGCGGUUCAAUAAGUCUGAUGUGAAAGCCUUCGGCUCAACCGGAGAAUUGCAUCAGAAACUGUUGAACUUGAGUGCAGAAGAGGAGAGUGGAACUCCAUGUGUAGCGGUGGAAUGCGUAGAUAUAUGGAAGAACACCAGUGGCGAAGGCGGCUCUCUGGUCUGCAACUGACGCUGAGGCUCGAAAGCAUGGGUAGCGAACAGGAUUAGAUACCCUGGUAGUCCAUGCCGUAAACGAUGAGUGCUAAGUGUUGGGAGGUUUCCGCCU